ACGGCCAUAUCACUUUCAAAUACCGGUUCUCGUUCGAUUAACGAUGUUAAGCAACGUUGAACCUGGUCAGUAACUAGAUGGGUGGCCGCUUGGGAAUAUCAGGAGCU